AAUGGGUUUGGUUUCUACUUUAUACUGGCCUUGGCCUAUGUAGAAUAGCACUCCGCCUACGUGGAAUUUCUUGAAUUUUAAUAACUAAACAAAAAUAAUUUUGCACAUACACCACCAUGAUCAUGAUCUCUUGAAUUUUGAAUUUACUUAAAUAUUCCCGCUUGUUUCAUCGAAAUCAAAGAUGACUUCAUCACCUCAAACCCUGACCCUAGCUACUGGUAGUGGCGACGGCGGAGGACCCUCUUCCGGCAAGACGAGCUUCGAAACACACGCCUGGGAUUAGUAGUGGGAAAACAAUGUUACAGAGCCGAUGGUAUACAAUGCAUUGCUCUUCGUGUGAAACAAAUUAUAGCACGCAAAACAGGUUAGCUGGAAUAUUGCAGGUGUGUCCAUAUGAUGUCUGCUAAAUUCGUUUGUGUGCAUCCUGAAUUUCACUACUCGUCUUUAGUGUCAAUCAGCUAUUGAUUGCGAUGAUAAUUCUUGGAAGCAAUGUGGAACAAAACUUCCUUUUUUCUUUGGAUCCUUUCUUUGAAAGGUGUGAAGUUCGGUGACAUGCCUCAGAAAAAGAGCCGGAAGAACCUAGUCAAAUUAUUCGGCGAUUAUAUGCCUCUUUGGCUCUGGUGUUGGAAUUUUCAUCAUCAGUGAAACUCCAUUCCACUACGGCCUUGUCAUGAAUGCUGUACUAUAUACACGGUACAUGUUAUCAUCCGCCAAAUGUAUGACUAGACGUGGUGUUUAGUCAUGCAAACUGCAUCAACGUCUAUCUACAGUGUGUCACCGUGUGAAAGAUCUCACUUUAUUCUGAUAGUGCCAUCUUCACUUCACUAUUGUUUGAAGAUUACUCUUCUGUGUUUUUCUUACCCUCUUUCAUAUAAUAGCUCUUUCAUACUUCAUUGUAGUAAUAAUGGCUAUUCUCUCUGAAUGCUUUUGCAGGCUGUGCAAUAAUAGGAUCAAGCUGGCUGCUCAACGUGCUGGCAUGCACAUAAAGCAUCACCCUUUUUUUUGCGCAUUGUCAUUUAUUGAUUUUUAAUUGUCUGUUAUUUCUGUCCCUUUAUCCUAUAAUGUUGGAAUAAAAAAAAACC